GGCGUCCUACGGGGCGCAGCAGUGGGGGAUAUUGCACAAUGGGGGAAACCCUGAUGCAGCGACGCCGCGUGAGUGAAGAAGUAUUUCGGUACGUAAAGCUCUAUCAGCAGGGAAGAAUAACGACGGUACCUGACUAAGAAGCCCCGGCUAACUACGUGCCAGCAGCCGCGGUAAUACGUAGGUGGCAAGCGUUGUCCGGAAUUACUGGGUGUAAAGGGAGCGCAGGCGGGAAGCCAAGUCAGCUGUGAAAACUACGGGCUUAACUUGUAGACUGCAGUUGAAACUGGUUUUCUUGAGUGAAGUAG
rnacentral:rRNA from 1 species